rnacentral:rRNA from 2 species
AGUAGUACAUGCAAGUCGAACGAACUCUGGUAUUGAUUGGUGCUUGCAUCAUGAUUUACAUUUGAGUGAGUGGCGAACUGGUGAGUAACACGUGGGAAACCUGCCCAGAAGCGGGGGAUAACACCUGGAAACAGAUGCUAAUACCGCAUAACAACUUGGACCGCAUGGUCCGAGUUUGAAAGAUGGCUUCGGCUAUCACUUUUGGAUGGUCCCGCGGCGUAUUAGCUAGAUGGUGAGGUAACGGCUCACCAUGGCAAUGAUACGUAGCCGACCUGAGAGGGUAAUCGGCCACAUUGGGACUGAGACACGGCCCAAACUCCUACGGGAGGCAGCAGUAGGGAAUCUUCCACAAUGGACGAAAGUCUGAUGGAGCAACGCCGCGUGAGUGAAGAAGGGUUUCGGCUCGUAAAACUCUGUUGUUAAAGAAGAACAUAUCUGAGAGUAACUGUUCAGGUAUUGACGGUAUUUAACCAGAAAGCCACGGCUAACUACGUGCCAGCAGCCGCGGUAAUACGUAGGUGGCAAGCGUUGUCCGGAUUUAUUGGGCGUAAAGCGAGCGCAGGCGGUUUUUUAAGUCUGAUGUGAAAGCCUUCGGCUCAACCGAAGAAGUGCAUCGGAAACUGGGAAACUUGAGUGCAGAAGAGGACAGUGGAACUCCAUGUGUAGCGGUGAAAUGCGUAGAUAUAUGGAAGAACACCAGUGGCGAAGGCGGCUGUCUGGUCUGUAACUGACGCUGAGGCUCGAAAGUAUGGGUAGCAAACAGGAUUAGAUACCCUGGUAGUCCAUACCGUAAACGAUGAAUGCUAAGUGUUGGAGGGUUUCCGCCCUUCAGUGCUGCAGCUAACGCAUUAAGCAUUCCGCCUGGGGAGUACGGCCGCAAGGCUGAAACUCAAAGGAAUUGACGGGGGCCCGCACAAGCGGUGGAGCAUGUGGUUUAAUUCGAAGCUACGCGAAGAACCUUACCAGGUCUUGACAUACUAUGCAAAUCUAAGAGAUUAGACGUUCCCUUCGGGGACAUGGAUACAGGUGGUGCAUGGUUGUCGUCAGCUCGUGUCGUGAGAUGUUGGGUUAAGUCCCGCAACGAGCGCAACCCUUAUUAUCAGUUGCCAGCAUUAAGUUGGGCACUCUGGUGAGACUGCCGGUGACAAACCGGAGGAAGGUGGGGAUGACGUCAAAUCAUCAUGCCCCUUAUGACCUGGGCUACACACGUGCUACAAUGGAUGGUACAACGAGUUGCGAACUCGCGAGAGUAAGCUAAUCUCUUAAAGCCAUUCUCAGUUCGGAUUGUAGGCUGCAACUCGCCUACAUGAAGUCGGAAUCGCUAGUAAUCGCGGAUCAGCAUGCCGCGGUGAAUACGUUCCCGGGCCUUGUACACACCGCCCGUCACACCAUGAGAGUUUGUAACACCCAAAGUCGGUGGGGUAACCUUUUAGGAACCACCCGCUAUACACGGUG